rnacentral:tRNA from 1 species
CGGAGUGUAGCUCAGCUUGGCUAGAGCGCCUGCUUUGGGAGCAGGAGGUCGCAGGUUCGAGUCCUGUCACUCCGA